UGGUUAUGUGGGUCUCUGGCAUGAUGAUUUGGGACAGAAUGUAAAAAUCACAUUGCCAGGGAUUACUACACUGCC
rnacentral:pre_miRNA from 1 species